UAUGUGCUGCAGCAGGCUUGAUUUGUUAUGUUUGACCUUUUAAUGAAUUCCGAUUCCGUCCCCGGCAGCCCUUGCGGAACCGGUGACUUGGCGCGACCGUUACCACGGUGACGCGGGAGAUUUAAAAGCGGCUGUAACUCGAGACAAGCACUCAGUUCCUCGGAUCAGCUGACUGAAGCCAGCUCUGCCGGAGCCGGGAGCGAAAUCUCGAAGCUACAGAGCCUUCGCUUCAAGGCUUUCCACACAAUAGUUUUGAGGGUUUAUAUAGAUGCCUUCCAUCAAAUCGUGGCAAAUUGGUGACCCCAACGUGAUUCCAGGGCUCAAGAGCCACCUAUCUGUGUGGCAUGCUGCGAGUCCCACAGAAUGUUGAAUGAGCUGCUGAAAGGAAGCAGGAGCCAGCUGGCCUGAAAUCCCUCCGGAGCAAAGAGGUGGGCCUUAAGUCUUUCAAAAUUACUACAGUAAAAGUUAUCAGCAAAAGAACAGUCAUCAGACCUAGAAUGACGCAGAAAGAUAAGAGGUUUGAAUUAAAGUAAGUCACUCAACACUAUAUCUCUCUCUGCUGCUCUAGCCAUUAAGCUGCCGUUGGUAUUUAUUUGGCCCUGGACAGUUGAUAGAUAGUACAUAAAAUGCCAAAAACCCACUUGUUUCAUAAUUUGAGAACAAUGAAUUGAAUUUCGUAGUUGGCUCAAGUUUUAGAGAGUUCUGAUUUAAUUUCAUCUGUCAUCCAGUUCUGUUUGAUUCACACUCAAAGUAGGUAUUUUCAUGAAUACUACUAUGUGCUGGAUGAGAAAUUUGUGGUCAUAGUGUAUAUGUUACACCAGUAGCAGGGCACCAACUCUGCCUAUACAAAUCUGGUCCCCAGUCACUAAGUUCUUUGAGUAAUGAAUUCUUUUCCUUCUGUGCAUUAUUACAGACAUUGAGAAUCUUUGUGGCUGUGAUUGCUGGCCUGGUUUUGGAUCUGAGUUGGACUAGCUAGUGAUUUGACACCAAAACUUAAAGCAGAAAAGUUUCAAAACUACAUUGCAAAUUUUUCACAACCUUUAUUUCCCAAUUAUUUUAAAACAGCAGACAUAAUUGUAUCUGUUUAAUGCAAGUGCUGUCACUUAGGGAUCUCUGGCCAGAACACUGAUUAGAGCAGCUCCCGAAAAGCAUCUUCAUGCCAAAACAUUAUUUAUUUAUUUCCUCAAGAUAUAAAGCUGGUAAUGCAAUAAAUCAUUCAAAAAGGGCUUUAUCUGGGUCUGACACUUUCUUGAUUAUAUGUGACAAAAACAACAAAUGGAGCAAACUUUCAUAGUGUUCCGUGUAUUAGUGGUGACCAGGUGCACUUAGUGUAUUAUUUCCUUGCCAUCCAAGUAACAAGAUGUCUUUAAAAUGUGCUCAUCCAUACAUACAUUACACAGGGCCAAAAAGACAAAGGAAGCUAGUACACGGACUAAGAAUGUUGUUUUUUAGGUGAUAGGACUUCACAUCAUUUAACGCUCUAACAUUUUUAUUUGAGAAGAGCUGAAGCUUGAAUGCUGGGCUAAGUCCUCUGCAGUGCUAACAUAUGUACACAUGCACUGCAACCUUUGGAGACAUGAGGAAAACACAGUCAGUGUUCUGCAGCAGUGCUACAGUGAGGCAGAACUGGCCAGGCAGAAGAUGAAUGCUUCACCUGGGGCCAGAGGGGCCAGAAUUUCUAUACCUCCCUCUCUCCUUGCGUGAAGUGUAUUUUCCCACACCCUGCACAAUGCUGCUCCAUGGGGAUGCUGUGCCUUAAAGUACUCUCACUUUUUACAUAAAAAUUGUGAUCCCAAAUGUAGACGCAUAGAAGGAAAUGUCUUCUUAUACAUACGUAAGCAGAACAAAAAAGACUAAAAUUGAAGUUGUCUGAUUUAACUGAAGUUACCACUCCCCCCCACUCCGGUGUUUCUUCUGUCAAAAAAUCAACGAAACCAGCUUUUGCCACUGAAAGCAUCAGGUUACAGGAGGUAACACUGUUUGGCCUGCCUCUCCCUGCUUCCAAAGCAGUGUCCAUUGGCAUUAUUUUUUCCAGCUAAGACUGUCAUUGUAGUGAACUUUUGACAUGCAAAGUUUUUACAUAUAAGUAUAUAGCUAUGUCUACUACAAGCGUAUGAAAUUUAUAAUUGUGUUUAUUCCUGCCUACUGGACCACCCUUGAGAUGGACAGAAUACACCAAUCCACUUUCUCAGCUUAAUUCUUUAAAUCAAAGCGUAAAAAAAGUUUGGUCAUUUAAAGUUCACACUUGCAACUGGAUAUGCAACAGGUGAAAUAGCAUCCAAAUGUAAAGGAGCAGAUUUCAGUUUGAGAUUUCAAACUAGACUUCAUAAAACUAUGACCUACAAUGGAAAAUUUAGACUAACUUGUCUUUUUGAAUGUUGCAACUGAGACUCUUUCUCUAACCUGCAUACAAAGAUAUGGGAAAAAUAAAAAGUUGAGGCUUAUUUGUAAACCUCUUGGUUUCAGAUUGCUUGUUUGGUUCUAUUAGCACCUGGCCAGGGAUUGCCAGUCACCCACCACUGGGUAGCCUGGUGGCUAAAAUCCAGUCUAUGCUCUUGAACUUUUCAAGAUUGCAUAUUUCUCAAUGAAGAAUGCAUUAGUCCUGUUAAGACCUCUGGUCCCUAUGAAAUGUGGGUCCAGGAUGCUCUGGAAAAUAGAAAAAUCAGAAAAUUAUAGGAUCUCUUAGGAUCUGGUCCUUAUGGCAACUACUGUGACACAGGUGCCCACAGAGCCUGCUAAUAUCCAGCACAGUUUAUUUGUUUGGGCACAGGAUUGUUUGUGUUGAGCAUGAGUUGCAUUUUGCCAGCCCAAGUUAGUUGGUACUGUGCUUUGAGGAGGAUGGAUGUUCUCAGGAGUGGCACCAGAGACACACACUCAAUGUUAUUAGACACCUCAGGAGCCUUUGGAACAAAAGAGCAUGGUCAAGACCUGUAAAUGUCUACAUGGGGUCACUCAGGUGAAUGCAGAUUAACUCUUUUUAGGCUGGAAGGACAUUUCUGUUUGGCUCAGCUAAUGUGGUGCCCAGAUUGGCUGUUGUCACAGGGAAAGUAUGGUGUCAUUGCUGCACACUUGCUCUCAGUGACUGCAAACCAAGCGUUCUGCAUACAAAAAAUGCAGAAGUGUCUGCAUUUAGAUAGUGCAGAUCAAACCACUAUGAAGGGAUCUGUGAGGCUACUGGCACCUCUGAUAUGCUUCAUCAUUUUACAAAGGAGGUUAGCAAAUCCAAACCCUGUGUUGAUUCAAUUACAAAGCCAGACUCAGUUCCUAUUCUGAACUCUGCCAAGCUUUGAGGCACUUUAUGUCUGUGUAGCAUCCAGGUCCUUUUGACUGCAGGCAAGGUCUGUUUCUGGUUUCUGAUUUUCUUGUUGGUUGUGGAUUCAAUGUGCUAAAUGCUUUCUACUUCCCACAGCCACUUUAAAAGAGGAAACAUAUUUAUUACUGGCCAGGCACGUAGAUGAUGCAUAAAUAAGAGAGAUCUUGAAGUCAUUAAUACAUUCAUGAAUUUAAGACAAGUGAUUUGGACUCACCUUCAUAACGAUGGAAUGGCAGAGACAUUCUUUCAUUCCUCAGCUCUUGUUCUGCCUGUUGUUUAUAAGAUAGAAAAGUGGGAGAAUAUAAUUUUACGGUCUCUAUAUUUUUGUCUAUAAAACACAUUGAUAUUUGUGUCAACAUCUUCAAAAGUUCACACGUCUUGAGCACACCUUUGAUCCCAACACUUCUUCCUCUCCUGCUCACAGAGAAAAGUUAUCACUGCUGUAACUGUAGGUGAUGAUAAACCCAAAAUGAAAGUUCACUCAGACUCUCAGCACUAUUUUUGUUUUGUGGUGAAGGACUGUUAGGUUACUUCUGCUAGAAGCAUUUGUCAUGGUCAUCCACACAGAUGACCUCUGCAGCCUUUUGUUGCAUCCUUUAGAUUAACUUUCAACUGUCCCGCCUCUGCUCUCCAACAGAGACAACAUGCAUACACCAUCAGGGCAAAGAAAUGCGUGGUGAACUGCAGAAAUUAUCUCUGACCCUGAGACACAAGGGCAUAGUUCACCUAUCCAGAAUCACACCCAGUGUUUCCUCCUGGAAAGCCUGGCUUUAUGGAAGGAAAGUAAAUGACACUCCGAGAACCAGUUACACAAUGUAUCUCAGACAGUGGAAAAUAAUAGUUCUUUCAAAAUGCAACUAUAGCACCUAUUCCUGUGAGAAGUCUUGUUAGAAAUACGUGAUAAGGCCAUGUUAGUGCACAUAUAAAUGAGUGUGACUGUGACGCAGAGCCUAAAGGAUUAUACUUUUUAGCAGCAAAAGCACAAAGCAAGUCUCAGCAUUGAAGCUGCUGCAACACUGAAUGCUGUUCUAAGAGCACUACAGCUUUCAUAUCCUACUUGUCUUCUCCUCUGGGUGUAAUUUUCAAAGGAGAUUAUGGGAAUAGGCAUACUUCCUCUGAAAUUACUGGCAAAAAUCCCACUAACUUCAGUGGAAAGAAGAUAAUACGCUUUUUGUAAGAUGGUGACUUUUCCCUAUUGCAAAUAUCCCCUGUGAUGCUCUGCCAAUCAUUGCAUUACAGAUAUGCAGAGCUUUUGAAUAGAUAGUGAGUCACCAAAACUUAUCAAACUAAACCAGAAGAACACAUAGCAUUUCCAUAGCAUUUUUACUGUAGUUCCUGAAGUCCUUUAUAAGCACACUAAGUUUAUCAUCUCUCUGCUACAGAAAAUGGAAUCCAAAGUAAAAAAAAACAAAGCAAAAUAUUAAGAUCAUAGAAAGUACUAGUAUGUGAAGUAGCAAUAAGGCCAAGUUCUUUGCUUCCAUGGCUCUGUAUUUUUCACUGGAUACAAGGCUUAUUCCCUGUUACCCAUAGUGGGGCAUUAGCUGUGCCUUGGCAUUUUCUCUUCCAUUUGAAGUCUAUUAGAUGUAGAAGUAAAUAGAAAAAAGCAAAAAACAGACUGUGUCUGUGUUUUUUGGUGAAACAGGCCAAAUGCCGAACACAAGUAAGAUUUUUAAAGUAAUGAACCAGUUGGAGUUUUGCCUGAGUACAAAGCAUGAAACAGUCCCAGUCUGUGAGCACUUCCACAAGGCUUUCAUUAGCUCUAUUUCCAUCUCUUCAGUAGACAUUAAUUUGACAAAAUCUUUUUUUCUAACCAAAGUAAUCAGAAUAAGAAAGAAGUUCUGCAAGUGCUCCCCUCUGUGAUCACUCACUUGAAUAAAAACCCCUGUUGUCAUGAAAAGUACACCAGGGAUACAGAAAUACUUUUUAAUGAACUAGUUAUUGUGGCAGCAUGGAGCCUGGGAUUAGAUAUACAGUGCUAUUAGUCUUAUUUGUGUCUAUCUAGUCAAUCUCUGUUACUUUUAUCCAUUUUUUCAUAAAUGUUUAAGCUGGUAAUGUAAAUCAUUCUUCCUGUCUCCUGUAGUGCUCUGAGAAGCAAAAUAAAAGAAAGUAAAAAUUCUUAACAUCCAACACUGAUUUGCAAUCAAGCUCCUAGGCUUCAAAUUGCAUCAAGUGGUUCUGCCUAACAGUGAUAAAGAGCUUCAGGAAUGGGCUAAAGUUGUGGAUUAUUGGUCACAGUGAUCAGCUGUUGGGGAAGGCUCUGCAUAAACAGUGACAGCUAUGUGGGUGUGAUUUCCUAGGGAAGGCACCACUUUUCAAACACGUUGUGUUUCCAGUAGCCAGUGCUAUGCCUAGCUUUAUUUUUGUUUACAUUACACUCACAUGAACAACACUUAGAAGACAGAAUGGCGUUUUAAAACCCACAAGAUAAGAGGACCCUGUACUGGGGCAGAUCUGCUCCUUAGCCACAGUAAUUCUCACCCCCAAACUUAGCACUGCACAUGGCAUUACUAUGUGAAUGUAUGAUCUGCAUGUACAUAAAAAAAGAAAAGAGCUUUGACUUAGGUUUUUUGAGCUAUGUUUAUGUUGGAUAGACUACUAUGUUAUUUCUAGAAUUAGGCAGUGCAACUGAAAGGGUUUUGCAGAACUAAUAUUAUUCCUCACAAGUUAUGCACAGAUUUUAAGAGUAAAACUUACAGAAAAGGAAACCCCUGGGCUUCAUCCAGAUUAAGUUUUCCAAGACUGUUUUGGCUUAAUUUUGUGAUUUUAAUUUACAUUUCUAGCUGUUGUCUUUUCCUCAGCCAGUCCAGAUUAACAUGCAGCACUAAGACUACUUGCUUACAUUUCAAGCUUUAAGCACUAAGUCCCUAGAAUAUUUGGUUUAAAAAAUUCAGAACAUUGAUAUUUCUUUAACGCUUUUUAAAGGUGACUGAACAUGUAUUCUGAAAAGAAACCAAUACAAUGCCUGUUAUGUGAAAUAUUUGUGCUUAAAUUUAUUUUGCACUUAGGCCAGUGGGGCCUCAGAGUGGCUUUGAUGCAUUUUUUGUGACUUCUAUGGGGAACUCACAUCGUGACUUUAACAUGGAAACAGACUUCAACCCUCUUUGGUCAAUGACAAGCAUAGAGCAAGCUGUGAUGCCUUUUAUGAGGUCUGGAAAAUCCACUAUGAUGAACACAAUUUGAUAUUUCACCCAGUAUUAUCACAAGCUUUCAUAUAUUCCUGUUUUGAUUUGAUCAAUAUCAUUUGGGAGCUUCUUUUCCUGAUUGCAACUUUUCCAUACAUUGCUUAUCUAGAGGUACAGAACAUAAUCACCACUGCCAGGCUGCUAUUCUGUCUUUCACAAAGCUGUGCUGAUGAUGUUCCCUACUGUUUUUGAAUCAGGUGCUUGUUAAGUCAAAUGCACAAUUACGACAUUCCCUCUGGACUCUUCUUCUCCCAGGCCAACUGCCUGGCAGACUCUCAUCUGAAAAUUCUUGACAUUGCUUUCUAAAUUCUGCCUCUGGCUGCAAAGACUUAAGAUACUGUCUCAUCAGUAUGCAGAUGUAUUUCACUGGUUCUGUUUAGAUAUUUUGUAAACACCAAGUAAUUAGUUUUUAGCUUAAAACAUACCUGAUGAGAAUGUACAACUGAAACCCAAAGUUAAAUCUGAAAAAUAUACUGGUUGCAAACUUCUUGUUUUCCAAGAAAACAGAAAGGAUGUAUUUUGCAAUCAUUUCUGUCUUCCAUUUCACCUUUGCAUCUCACCUUCCAGGUGUCACUGUCAAACCUAACAAACACUUCUUGGACUCAUUGGUUGCUCCCCUACACAUUUUAUGCUGAGCUAUGUGAUUAGGGAUGAAGAAGCAGGGAAGGGGAGGAAGGGCAAAGUGACUGGGGCCUUCUCUCUGUUUUGUAUUCCAUUCCUUCUUUCCACUGCUUAUGUUAAUACUUUUGUUUGGACAAGACUUCUGGUCCCACUCCUACUAGAAUUUCUACAAAUGUGUUUCUGUAUCAUGGCAAGGAGAUCACCAUGUCACUUCAUGGCAACUUUUUAUAGAGGUUAAAGAAUAAUGAAAGUGUUGACAUUAAUGAUGAUAGAAUCUGUCACAACACAAUAAGACAUGUCUGAUUUUUUAAAUAAAUUCUAGAUCCCCAACUCAAAUGAAAGAAAACACUUCAUUUUGUCUUCUUCUGAAAAAUCAUCCUUGAAUUUUUGUCACCUCCCUGAAUUGCUACUCCACAUCUCAAAUUUUUAAUUUAAUUUCUAAAUUUUGAGGUGAACUUGCGACUGAAGGCAUUCGUUUUUUCAUCUGAAAGGUGUCAAUACACUCUUCAUAAAAUAAAUAUGAGAUUUUUAAAAGCAUAGAAAUUAAGGAAAAUGGAAAAAGCUGCAAAAAAGAAGUACCAAUUUUGGAGUGUCAAAGACUCCUUAGAUUUGACAAAAGAAGUAUCCUUCCCAUGAGCCCUGUGAAGCUUAUUUUCAGGACAGGGCACUGUGGAUCACACUGGCUUCUGUAGACCGACAUCCACACGGACCCAGCACUCAACAGCCGUUACAAGUGUUUUCCUUCUUUAGCCAUGUCUGGAGGCAACAUUUUUUCAUUAAUAAUAUUAUAGGAGCUUCUAUUUCAAGAUUGUUUCUAAGUGAGAUUACUAUAAAAAGUGAGCUUCUUGCCAAGAAAGUUGCAACAGAGUUAGUGACUCAACUGGAAGCCACUAGAUUUUGCCUUAUUAGGAAAGGUGGGAUUUGGUACAAGAAGGCACAACAUUAAAAGGUGUUCAGACUACACAUAGAUGUGCACUCACUGUCAUUUGGCCUUAGUUUUCUCAUGCUGAACAUGUCUUAGCACAAUAAUCAGAAGAAAAACAUCACUGUAUCUUGGUACUGAAAGAUAUGUUCCCUUUAACAAUCAUUGCCUUCACAUGCAGAGCCUCUACUUUUCUCCUCCCCAAAACAAGUGCCUUGAGAAAAGCAAAAAUAUUUUGUCCUUGUUAACUUCAGCAUAGCAAUGACAGCAACAGACAGGUUUAGGCGUCUUGGCAAUCUGUUUAAGAA